rnacentral:lncRNA from 10 species
CUAAAAGAAAGAAGACCCCAAGACCCCUGUAUGAAGCUUAGAAGGCAAAGGCCUGUCUUCACAGAGCCAGCUAAAGAGCUAGGCUUUGGCGCCACCACAUCCUGUUUGGAAUCCAAGCUCCACCGUUUAGCAUUUGUGUGACCAGGGGCUUGUUAAGGAAGGCCCCAAGGCUCCCUUCCCUGCGUAUAAAAAGAAGAGAUGGUACCUGCUUUAUAGGAUGCAGUGGUGAGGGUUCAAUGAGAAGAGGCUUGCAAUAGGCUUGGUAUAGUGCCUGGCACAUGGGGAUAUUCAAAUAGUGCUGACUAUUAGAUCAGGAGCAGACAUUGGGGUAGGAGGUAUCAGCCCGGGGAGGAGACGACAAGGAGAGUUAGGGAGGGAAGGACGUGCCAGGGAAGAGACGGUGGGCUCUGCAGAGGAAGGCUUCUUGGUACCUCUCGAAAGCUGCUGUGGGAACACACCUUUACUCUGCUGACAUUUUCAGACAGCCGUGCUGGCAGGGAUCUGGGCACCUGGCAAAGCGAGCUGACCAUCUGGCCGGCUGUUUCUGCAACAAAAAGAGAUGGUGUCAAAGGUUUUGGGAGCUGGGCUCCUUUGACCCACAGUUGGCACCGGAGGCCAAAUAAGUCCUCCUGGAGACCAUCACCUUCUCAUCAGCAAUCUUCCAGCCAGCACACUGCAGCGGCCAGGGAGUGCAGGAUUGUCUCCAGGAAGCCAGUGCCAAGGCCAGAGGCCCAGAGCCUGCACUGAGCAAAUCGCCAGGGAGUAGUGACAGCCCUUCCUUCCUGGUCAGUGCUCUUGUCCCAUGGGGCUACUAUCUCCUCUGGAUCCUAUGAAGACUGCUCCCUGCCACGGCCAUGAUUACGUGUCACACUGCAUGGUUAGAAGGGCAGGUUCUGAGGCCAGGCUGCCUGGGUUCAUGCAUUAGCUGUGUGGCCUUGGGCAAGUUACUUAGCCACAUUUUGCCUCAGUUUUCUGGACUACAAAAUGGAGUUGUGAGAGUUCACCAAGUUCAUGCUUAUAAGGAGAUGGCAGCAGUGCCUGGCAUUUAAAAAGUGCCCCACAGGUGUUAUCUGGGGCUGUUGUCAUCUCUGUGGCCAAUUGUGCAUCGGUUCCAGGUCUUGGGGUCAUGUCUGUGUGCUUGGUGCCCUAGGUGCCCCAAUAUCUAGUCUCUUUUUCUCCCAUUAAAAAAUCAAUCUCACUUCUCUGUCUCCCUAUCUUUCUCCCUUUCAUCUUCCCUUUCUUAGCACAUUAUUUAUUCAACAAACACGGAUGAAGUGCCUGCCCUGUGCCAGGCGCUGGGGAGGGGGAGGAUGGGGGGCUACAGAGAUGGAAUAAACAGUGAGCCCUGCACAGGACCCUCCGAGUGCCCACAGCUAGGCAGAACAGCAGUUAGUCCAUGCUGAUGCAGGAUUCAUCAUCGUCACGGGGGAGCCAGAAUCUGGAGACACCCAGGCCCUGAAGACGGAGCCUGCCCAGCCCCCACCGAAAAGAGAGCUGCUAUUGGCCUCAGCGUCCAGGAAGAGCCGGGUGAUUCAGCGGGAUGGAGAUCCUCCUUCCCAAGACAAGAUGGGGGCAGCAGAGGACCGAGCACAUAGUGGCACUCCGCAAAUGCGUGCUGAGGAAUGGAUUGUCAUUACUGAUGUCAUCAUCCACCCCUGCACAAGUCUUGACACGGAGCAGCCUCCCACCCCUGCUGGAAGCCUGGCUUAAAGUGACCAACCUGCUUUAGUGAAGGGUUGGGGUUUGGAAGGCCCGCUGGAUACAAGGAUCUAGAAUGAGGAGGUCUUUUCCUAUUGAGGACCAAAGCUCUCAACUCUUUUUUCCUAAUAAACUAGGAGAGACCAGUUUGGAAUUGUCUCUAAAUGUACAGGAUGAGUUUGAGUUUAGGGGUAGCGGAGCCUCUUGUUCCCAACUGAAGGCACUCACGAAACCUGAACUGCACCCACUUGGAGGAAAGUGAGACGGGGCUUCCCAGUGAGAACCCAGGGAGAUGCGUCAAAGGCUACAGAGGGAACAAACAAA